GAUGAACGCUGGCGGCGUGCCUAAUACAUGCAAGUCGAGCGAACAGACGAGGAGCUUGCUCCUCUGACGUUAGCGGCGGACGGGUGAGUAACACGUGGAUAACCUACCUAUAAGACUGGGAUAACUUCGGGAAACCGGAGCUAAUACCGGAUAAUAUAUUGAACCGCAUGGUUCAAUAGUGAAAGACGGUUUUGCUGUCACUUAUAGAUGGAUCCGCGCCGCAUUAGCUAGUUGGUAAGGUAACGGCUUACCAAGGCAACGAUGCGUAGCCGACCUGAGAGGGUGAUCGGCCACACUGGAACUGAGACACGGUCCAGAUUCCAAGGGGAGGCAGCAGUAGGGAAUCUGCCGCAAUGGGCGAAAGCUUGACGGAGCAACGCGGCGUGAGUGAUGAAGGUCUUCGGAUCGUAAAACCCUGUUAUUAGGGAAGAACAAAUGUGUAAGUAACUAUGCACGUCUGGACGGUACCUAAGCAGAAAGCCCCGGCUAACUACGU
rnacentral:rRNA from 1 species